rnacentral:rRNA from 1 species
GAUCCUGGCUCAGAACGAACGCUGGCGGCAGGCUUAACACAUGCAAGUUGAACGGGAUUUGUGUGGUGCUUGCACCAUAUAAUGAGAGUAGCGCACUGGUGAGUAACACGUGGGAACGUGCCUUUUAGUGGGGGAUAACAUCUGGAAACGGAUGCUAAUACCGCAUACGCCCUGAGGGGGAAAGAUUUAUUGCUAAGAGGUCGGCCCAGGCGGUAGUAUUAGGCUAGGUUUGGGUAGGGGGUAAACGGCCCUAACCCAAACCUACG